CUGUUGUUAGGGAAGAACAAGUGCGAGAGUAACUGCUCGCACCUUGACGGUACCUAACCAGAAAGCCACGGCUAACUACGUGCCAGCAGCCGCGGUAAUACGUAGGUGGCAAGCGUUGUCCGGAAUUAUUGGGCGUAAAGGGCUCGCAGGCGGUUUCUUAAGUCUGAUGUGAAAGCCCCCGGCUCAACCGGGGAGGGUCAUUGGAAACUGGGAAACUUGAGUGCAGAAGAGGAGAGUGGAAUUCCACGUGUAGCGGUGAAAUGCGUAGAGAUGUGGAGGAACACCAGUGGCGAAGGCGACUCUCUGGUCUGUAACUGACGCUGAGGAGCGAAAGCGUGGGGAGCGAACAGGAUUAGAUACCCUGGUAGUCCACGCCGUAAACGAUGAGUGCUAAGUGUUAGGGGGUUUCCGCCCCUUAGUGCUGCAGCUAACGCAUUAAGCACUCCGCCUGGGGAGUACGGUCGCAAGACUGAAACUCAAAGGAAUUGACGGGGGCCCGCACAAGCGGUGGAGCAUGUGGUUUAAUUCGAAGCAACGCGAAGAACCUUACCAGGUCUUGACAUCCUCUGACAACCCUAGAGAUAGGGCUUUCCCUUCGGGGACAGAGUGACAGGUGGUGCAUGGUUGUCGUCAGCUCGUGUCGUGAGAUGUUGGGUUAAGUCCCGCAACGAGCGCAACCCUUGAUCUUAGUUGCCAGCAUUUAGUUGGGCACUCUAAGGUGACUGCCGGUGACAAACCGGAGGAAGGUGGGGAUGACGUCAAAUCAUCAUGCCCCUUAUGACCUGGGCUACACACGUGCUACAAUGGACAGAACAAAGGGCUGCGAGACCGCAAGGUUUAGCCAAUCCCAUAAAUCUGUNNUCAGUUCGGAUCGCAGUCUGCAACUCGACUGCGUGAAGNUGGAAUCGCUAGUAAUCGCGGAUCAGNNNGCCGCGGUGAAUACGUUCCCGGGCCUUGUACACACCGCCCGUCACACCACGAGA
rnacentral:rRNA from 1 species